UACGUAGGCAGCGAGCGUUGUUCGGAGUUACUGGGCGUAAAGAGUGCGUAGGCGGUUUUCUAAGUUUGGUGUGAAAUCUCCCGGCUUAACUAGGAGGGUGCGCCGAAGACUGGAAGGCUUGAGUAUGGGAGAGGUAAGCGGAAUUCCUGGUGUAGCGGUGAAAUGCGUAGAUAUCGGGAAGAACACCCGUGGCGAAGGCGGUUCUCUGGGACGGUACUGACGCUGAGACGCGAAAGCGUGGGGAGCAAACAGG
rnacentral:rRNA from 1 species